rnacentral:rRNA from 1 species
UCUCAAGCGCAAGGUAAGGGCAUCUGGUGGAUGCCUUGGCGCGCGGAGGCGAUGAAGGACGUGGCACGCUGCGAUAAGCCG